rnacentral:lncRNA from 1 species
UCUCUCUCUGUCUGUAUCUGGCUCUGAGGGGCCUGUCUCUCUCUCUCUCUGUCUGUAUCUGGCUCUGAGGGGCCUGUCUCUCUCUCUCUCUGUCUGUAUCUGGCUCUGAGGGGCCUGUCUCUCUCUCUAUCUGUCUGUAUCUGGCUCUGAGGGGCCUGGGCCUGUCUCUCUCUCUCUCUCUCUGUAUCUGGCUCUGAGGGGCCUGUCUCUCUCUCUCUCUGUCUGUAUCUGGCUCUGAGGGGCCUGUCUCUCUCUCUCUCUGUCUGUAUCUGGCUCUGAGGGGCCUGUCUCUCUCUCUCUCUGUCUGUAUCUGGCUCUGAGGGGCCUGUCUCUCUCUCUCUCUCUGUAUCUGGCUCUGAGGGGCCUGUCUCUCUCUCUCUCUGUCUGUAUCUGGCUCUGAGGGGCCUGUCUCUCUCUCUCUCUGUCUGUAUCUGGCUCUGAGGGGCCUGUCUCUCUCUCUCUCUGUCUGUAUCUGGCUCUGAGGGGCCUGUCUCUCUCUCUCUGUGUCUGUAUCUGGCUCUGAGGGGCCUGUCUCUCUCUCUCUCUGUCUGUAUCUGGCUCUGAGGGGCCUGUCUCUCUCUCUCUCUGUCUGUAUCUGGCUCUGAGGGGCCAUGCUGAAGCCACCAGCCAGCCUGUCUCUCUCUCUCUGUGUCUGACCUCAAUGAGAACACAGCAGCUCGUUCUGUUCAUCAAUCAUUCAUCACCUAGUAGGGUGUCAGUGGGCCAGGUGUCCUUCCUGGUUGGAACUGUCUCCCUCGUUUCAGUAGGACCUGUAGACAUUAACGAGGUCCAGUAGGACCUGUAGACAUUAACGAGGUCCAGUAGGACCUGUAGACAUGAACGAGGUCCGGUAGGACCUGUAGACAUUAACGAGGUCCAGUAGGACCUGUAGACAUUAACGAGGUCCAGUAGGACCUGUAGACGCGGCCGGUCCGCGGGAACAUUAACGAGGUCCAGUAGGACCUGUAGACAUUAACGAGGUCCAGUAGGACCUGUAGACAUUAACGAGGUCCGGUAGGACCUGUAGACAUUAACGAGGUCCGGUAGGACCUGUAGACAUUAACGAGGUCCGGUAGGACCUGUAGACAUUAACGAGGUCCAGUAGGACCUGUAGACAUUAACGAGGUCCAGUAGGACCUGUAGACGCGGCCGGUCCGCGGGAACAUUAACGAGGUCCAGUAGGUUUAGUCAUUACAGAAGGGUGACUUGGUGAAGAGGAUUUUGAAUAUUGACUCUGUGGUCCUCAACCAGCCAGCAUGGAAGCUACUGGUGUUUAGAUUUUCAUUGGCUUCUCUCCAAGCUUGGCUCAAUGUGCAGGGAACUUUGUGUUUGCAUGAUAUGCCAACGGCUGUGUCCUCUAACCCAGCCUGGCAGUUAGGACUUAUCCUCUGUUACCAUAGAGACGUGUAUAUACUAGAAUCCUCUCUCUGU